CUAGUAAAAUUAUCUUUAAAAAGAGUGUUCCAAUACAAUACACUGCCAGUACUAGCAGUACUGGGUAUCAAUUAUUAAACUUUAUCCCUAGAAUGGAAAGUGGAACCAUUGAAGUUAAUGGAGAAAUUUUUCAUUUUUCAUCUUUCACCCAGGAAAAAAGUUUCAUGAUUGAUAUUCUAAAAAAUUAUUUCGCUAUUAGCACGCAACGCGCUACGACAGCGACUAUUUCCCUAAAUGACAUCAUAAAUAAUAAUCAUAUUGCCACUGCGACUACUGCGGCUUUCGAGAUCAGAUAGUUACAGUGCAAAGAUAAAGAACUCAUGGGUUAUUAUUUGACGCGCGCGUCACGCGUUAUAGACGUUUGGAACUGAGAGCGUUUGAUGCAGUUUUGGUGCUGAAAUAGAGAUUAGCAGCUUAGACGAGAUUCAGAGAAUAUUCACAUGCGAUUUAUGUGAAGAAAUUGUGGGCAGCUUGGAAAUAGUAAAGAGCCAUUCUUGUCUAAUGGGAUAUGCAAAAGCAAUUUUUGAUGAAAAUCUUUAUUUUUAUCCUCAAAGCAAUAAUGGAGACAUACAUUGUACGUCGAAGUGAUGUGAAUAUUUAAGGGAGAAUCAGAAUGUUACGAUCGUAUCGCAAGAUAGAAAAACGAUGGCAAGAAGUCAGCGAAGCAAUAAAAGGCACACAACCAAGACAUUCAGUUUUCAAAUGAGUUACAUGAACAAUGGUGAAAAUUUGGAAGAAAUUACUUAGAUGAGUGAUUUAUGUGAUAACAUGAAAAUUUCUAUAUAAUUCUCUUGAUGUCGCAGGCUACUUUUUCUAAGCCAUUUCUUUCAAACUAUUUAUCGCUACGUUUACAUUGUGAAUUUAGGCCGCGACCUAUAUAAUAAAUGUUCUUGUUUAGUCCCUGUAAGUUAAACAAAGAUACUUAUACUUAUCGUAUAGAUCAUAGAUUAAGCGCACGAUGUAAACAUAGCUAUGUAUAAUCAAAGCUCUCAGUUUUCUUAUGUAGUACACAGACGUAGCUCGAAUACACAAGAUUAUUGUAAAUAUACAGUACUUAUAAUUAUUAAAAUUAUAAAAAUAAAAAACAACAUGAUUUUAUUUUAAAAGUAUACUCUAGUGAAGAGUCCAAAGAAAAUGGAAAAAUCUCUGUAACCGUUUUAUGUGGAUUGUUCAGCGGAGAAGCUGCCAAGUGAGGCGACAAGUUAGUCGGAGAAGAAUGGUUUUUAUGAGUCAUUAAACCUUUUGCGUGACACAUUAUUAAGAAGAGAAACUGUAUCGAAUAUGCCAGUCUGUAACAACAAUAUGAAUAUCGAAGACGAAGAAGAAAAAGAGAAUCUGCACAAAAUGAUAUCUCUAAGAACAGCAAGAAGCAAAGGAUAAACAGAAACUCAAACCAAGAUAGUAUUAUUCUGGCACAAAUAAGCGAGGCAUUACGAGCCGCCGCCGGCAAUUUCUUUGCCAUCAAUUCCAGUAACGAAAGAAGAAGAUUUCGGAAUGAUGAUUUCCUCGCAACUUC
rnacentral:lncRNA from 1 species